rnacentral:misc_RNA from 1 species
CCGAGUUCAGGGUCGUCUCUUUAACCAAGAGCGCCCGACCUCCAACCCUUUGUCUACCUGACCACAACGUUGCUUCGGCAGGCCCGUCCUUCGGGACCGUCGGGGGUGUCACCCACCCCGGGCCCGUGCCUGUCGAUGGCCACCAAAAAUUCUUUUUAAGAAACCUGUCGUCUAAGUACAAACAAAAAUUAAAACCA